UUCAAAAAUGUGUUUCUCCUCUUGAAAUGAAGAAAACAUUUUAAGCUUGAAGAUUAGGCUUGAUGGAGCUUGCAGGGUGUAAGAAUGAAGAGAGAAAAGAACACGCAAACCUGAACAGAUUCCCAGAAGUCUCUCUGAGAAAUGCAGGAGUCAUAUGCCCAAUUGUAAAAUCAACAAUAUCAUUAAAUAUGCAGUAGGAUGAUAACACGUAGAAUGAGCCUGGCCAAAAACCACAAGCCCUGGAACAAGUUCAAACCAAAUACCGACAGGAAACCACCCACCCAGGCAUAGAGAGGUUAGAUGCUCCUGCGCAAAAUGCAAGUGUGUCCGAUGACUGACAGUCAACUCUUCUUGGAAAGAAGAGAAUAUCUGCUUUUCUUGUAACACCAAGUUCAUUCAGCUCAGCCCACGAGAGGGCAUGGGGACUGGCUGACAACAUGACUUGCUAAUCAGAAAUGUUCUCUGCCUUCCUUCUAAACCUAAGAGGACCAAGGCAUUUGUAAACCUUGCUAUGAAUUUGUCAUUGAAAAACAACACCUAGGAGAAUACCGGUUUUCCAAUUAGCAUCAGAACUGGAGGGAAAGCCGCACAGAGAGCUAGGUAAGUAAGACGGGGAUAAAUCCUUCAAGGUAAGGGGCAUUUGCACCUAAACCUAGUUUGAGACUGUAAACCAAAUGCCAACGCCGGCGGACAUCCCGGGGUUUCUGCCAGACAAGUUUAAAUAGGACCAGAGCCACACUGGGUCCUCUGAUAGCUGAUUCACGAAAGAUGUUCUCACCAUUUGCAGUGUGGGAGGUAGUUCGCGUC